rnacentral:rRNA from 1 species
AUUGAACGCUGGCGGCAGGCUUAACACAUGCAAGUCGAGCGGGGGAAGGUAGCUUGCUACUGGACCUAGCGGCGGACGGGUGAGUAAUGCUUAGGAAUCUGCCUAUUAGUGGGGGACAACAUCUCGAAAGGGAUGCUAAUACCGCAUACGUCCUACGGGAGAAAGCAGGGGAUCUUCGGACCUUGCGCUAAUAGAUGAGCCUAAGUCGGAUUAGCUAGUUGGUGGGGUAAAGGCCUACCAAGGCCACGAUCUGUAGCGGGUCUGAGAGGAUGAUCCGCCACACGGGGAAUGAGACACGGCCCAGACUCCUACGGGAGGGAGCAGUGGGGAGUAUUGGACAAUGGGGGGAACCCUGAUCCAGCCAAGCCGCGGGUGUGAAGAAAGCCUUAUGGUUGUAAAGCACUUUAAGCGAGGAGGAGGCUACUCUAGUUAAUACCUAGGGAUAGUGGACGUUACUCGCAGAAUAAGCACCGGCUAACUCUGUGCCAGCCGCCGCAGUAA